GUGAAUCAUCGAAUCUUUGAACGCACAUUGCGCCCUUUGGUAUUCCGAAGGGCAUGCCUGUUCGAGCGUCAUUAUCACCCCUCAAGCCCUGUGCUUGGUGUUGGACGGCUGGUCGAGCGAUCGACCCCUCCUAAAGACAAUGACGGCGGCCUGUGGUUCCCCCGGUACACUGAGCUUUUAACUGAGCACGUAUCGGACAAGGGCACCCGGGACCCGGUCCUCUCCUUUAGCUAGGAAACUUCUAAGGUUGACCUCGGAUCAGGUAGGAAUACGCGCUGAACUUAAGCAUAUCAAUAAGCGGAGGA
rnacentral:misc_RNA from 1 species